AUUGAACGCUGGCGGCGUGCUUAACACAUGCAAGUCGAACGAAGUGGCGAACGGGUGAGUAACGCGUAAUCAACCUGCCCUUCAGGGGGGGACAACAGUUGGAAACGACUGCUAAUACCGCAUACUGAUGAACGGGAUUGCGUCUGAUUGGCUAGUUGGAGGGGUAACGGCCCACCAAGGCGAUGGUCAGUAGCCGGGCUGAGAGGGUGAACGGCCACAAUGGGACUGAGACCCGGCCCAGACUCCUACGGGAGGCAGCAGUGGGGAAACUUCCGCAAUGGACGAAAGUCUGACGGAGCAACGCCGCGUGGGUGAUGACGGCCUUCGGGUUGUAAAGCUCUGUUAAUCGGGACGCGGUACCGGAAUAGAAAGCCACGGCUAACUACGUGCCAGCAGCCGCGGUAAUAC
rnacentral:rRNA from 1 species